rnacentral:lncRNA from 10 species
AUGGAUUUGUCAGCAGAACAAGAUUUAGAAGUGACAUCAGAGCAAGAGCCAGAAAGGCUUGAAGGAAGUGAAAAGAACAAGCCACAGGCUGAGGGAGAAAGGAAGAAGCAUGCAAAGAAUGAAACAGAAGCAUCAAGAAACCUACAUGAUGGCUCCACUGAUGACCAUAUUCAACAAGGAGAGAGUGGAGAAACUGACGGUCAGCAAAUCCCUAGGACAGAGCAUGAAGUGUGCGAUAGUAGUGUCCCUGCCUUGCAUAUGAAGAAAGUAAAGAAAAAUGAACAUGAAGAAUGGAUCACAACAGAAUCUGUGACUCUGCUGGUAUUUAAGAAGGCCGAUUUAAUAACUCAUGAUCUGCUGCAAGUGACUGAUGACAGCAGUUUAACUGAAAUAGAUGAGAAAGAAAGAAGGCUUACAAAGAAAACAUCUAAUGAGGACAAGGUCAGAAACCAAAUCCAUUCUAUAGAUGGCUUUGAUGACUUAACUUGGUCAUCUGAAAUAGCCUCAGAGUGUUGUGAGCUGCCUUACUCUAAUUACAAAAAGUUUAUAUUGCUCAUUGAAGAACUUGGCAUGGAUUGUAAAGAUCCUGUUAACCUACUGAAAAUUCAGGAUGCCAUUCAUUCAUGGGAAAGAUCAAUAGAAGUUGAAAAAAAUCACUGUAAACUACUUACAGAAAAAAUGAAAAAAAUGGAAAAUGAGGUCCAUGUACUACAAAAGGAGUUAUCUGAAACAAUAGAAAUAAAAUUACAGUUAGAACAUCAAAACGAUGAAUGGAAACGAGAUUUCUACAGUUUGAGAUCUGCCUUAAGACAAGAAGAAGAGAAGAGAAAAAAUGCUAACACAUUGUAUGAAAAAAUCAGGGGACACUUAAGAAGAAAAGAAGAGCAGUACAUGAAAGAAGUUGAAGCCAACAAACAACUUCAACUGACUCUGAGAACACGAGAUAUGGAAUUGAGGACAGUAAGAAAUAAUUUGGACCAGGUUGUACAAGAGCUGAGUGACACCCAGAGGCAACUUUCUCGAGAAAAGAAUGCCAGAAUAUUACAAGAUGAAAUCCUGACCAAUCACCUUUGCAAACAAAGGGAGAUAGCACUGGCUCGAAGGAAAAGGAGUUCUCAGUUGGGUGUGUUGGAGAAUGUACAGUAAGAACAUGUAACUGAGGAAGAAGGAAGCAUUGGUAUACGUGUUGUAAGGUCAGCUUUCUUGCUAAGGCUGUGGGGAGGUAAGCAGCAAAUCCCUUUUGAAGUUGAGAACAUAGGAGUCAGACAGAUGAGCAUCAACAUACUAGCUUUUAUUACUGACUCCCAGUAACUAAUGGGGGAUGUGGCUCAGAUGUGCGGGCACAGUGGGCUUCUGAACACUUCAUCCCAGGUUAGGCAUUCACACACACAGUUGUAAGUGGAGAAAGCUUGAUACUCAUCCCCAAAGCAGGCUGCCUGCUGCAGAGAUGACAGCUGACUUGAAUUCAUGUCACUGUGGGCAGACAUAUCAUUUCACAGGAGAGACACAGAACCAAGCAAGCACAAAUUCAGCCUUUUGGUAAAUCUUCCCACGAGGAAGGUAGAGAGCUUGUAAGUCCUCAUGUGGAAAUGUGAGGUCAGGGAAGCCAGGUUUCCUAUCACUUCUGCCUGAAUUUAAAUUGUAAUUGAAAUUAAAUCCAUGUCUUUGUAAUGAUGAGGAGGUGGACAGAAGUGUGCUAUAUGAAAAAGAUAAAUCUGUUUUGCCUCUUCAAUUUUGCUAUAAAUAACCCACAACAUGGAUAAUUGACUUGACUGAUUGAUUGUGGUAAACCAUGUUUUAUUUGGAGAAAAUUAAUAGUCCUUUUGAGGAAGAAUUUUUCUCAGCUUCAGCUUGCUUAGUUCACCUAAAGGCACUUUAUUUCAUGUUCCCUGUCCUGUGACUUAAAAAAAAAAAUGUUCUUUAUACAUUGAGUACAUUCACUGCUACUAACAAAAGUUCUGACGUUAAUUGCUGUUUCUAAUUUUUUUCAUAACUUUCAAACUUACAAUUUAGAGAAGUAGUCUUUUCUGUAUCGUGCCUAAACAUUAUUGAGCUAUGUGACAGUUUUACAUGUGCAUUUUCUGAGUUAUAUUUUAAAAUCUAUGUCCGUUUUCUGAAUAAGAAGGAAGCAGCUGGCAUAGAUCUCCAGGCUCAGUAAGGAGACCUGAAGCCCAUUCCUGGCCUGUAUGUAGCUAAUUCACUAUGUGACCUCAGGCAAGCUACAAUCUCUCUGAGCCUGUGUUGCCUCCUAUGAAAACUUAGGGAUUUUAACUACACUGGUGGCAUACCUU